rnacentral:rRNA from 1 species
GACGAACGCUGGCGGCGUGCUUAACACAUGCAAGUCGAACGGAAAGGCCCUGCUUUUGUGGGGUGCUCGAGUGGCGAAAGGGUGAGUAACACGUGAGUAACCUGCCCUUGACUUUGGGAUAACUUCAGGAAACUGGGGCUAAUACCGGAUAGGAGCUCCUGCUGCAUGGUGGGGGUUGGAAAGUUUCGGCGGUUGGGGAUGGACUCGCGGCUUAUCAGCUUGUUGGUGGGGUAGUGGCUUACCAAGGCUUUGACGGGUAGCCGGCCUGAGAGGGUGACCGGCCACAGUGGGACGGAGAUACCGCCCAGACGGCUACGGGAGGCAGCAGUGGGGGAUAUUGCACAAUGGGCGGAGGCCUUAAGCGGCAACGCCGCGUGCUGGAUGACGGCCGUCGGGUUGUAAACCGCGUUCGCCUGUGACGAAGCGUGAGUGACGGUAAUGGGUAAAGAAGCACCGGCUAACUACGUG